UUUUUCUCACCCUCUCUCCCACCAUAACCUGCUACAACGACGCCAAGAACUUUCACCAUACAAUCGCUAGCACCAAGCAACCACCGCCACCAUAUUCUCAUAUAUUUUCAUCUCUACUCUCUCUAAUCGUAAACAACACAGUUCAGGUGGUGAACAUGUUUGAAUCGAACAAUGAGACGGUGAACAAAUCAGGUGGCCGGUGAACAUGCUUGGAUCGAAAAAAGAAAAAAAGAUGGGGUGAAGGAGAUUGGAAUCGAAUGGAGGAGAGAGAGUGAGACUAGAUCUGAAAUCACUUCUCUCUCUUUUGCCAGAAUCGAAAUCCACCAGAUUUGGGGCUAGAACUUGACGAAAUCCACUGGAUCUGUACAUGUAUCUCUCUUCCAAUGGGUUGGGGUUAGGGUUUAAUGAGGAUUUGGGGCUAAGGUUUGAUUAGGAUGUUGGAUUUUAGAGGAUCGAAAGCCUAAGCUUCUGAUAAUUCAUCUUAUCCACAUGUCUAAAUUUUCUUGAUAAGAUAAAUAUUGUUUUAUGCAAUUAAUGGUAGAAUUUCAAUUCUGUUUUGGUGAUGGUGGCUGGUGGGUUGUUGGUGGCGGGUGGUGGUGA
rnacentral:lncRNA from 1 species